UACGUAGGGAGCAAGCGUUGUCCGGAAUCAUUGGGCGUAAAGCGCGCGUAGGCGGCCCGGUAAGUCCGUCGUGAAAGUCAAAGGCUCAACCUUUGAAUGUCGAUGGAUACUGCCGGGCUAGAGUCCGGAAGAGGCGAGUGGAAUUCCUGGUGUAGCGGUGGAAAUGCGCAGAUAUCAGGAGGAACACCAGUGCGAAGGCAGG
rnacentral:rRNA from 1 species